rnacentral:rRNA from 1 species
UACGGAGGGCGCGAGCGUUGUGCGGAAUCACUGGGCGUAAAGGGUGCGUAGGCGGCUCGGCAAGUCAGUUGUGAAAGCCCCUGGCUUAACCAGGGAGCUGCGAUUGAUACUGUCGAGCUUGACGCGGGGUGAGGUAGGCGGAAUUUGGGAUGUAGCGGUGAAAUGCAUAGAUAUCCCUUAGAACACCGGUGGCGAAGGCAGCCGGCUGGGCCUGUAUUGACGCUGAGGCACGAAAGCGUGGGGAGCAAACAGG